AGCAGUAGCCGCGGUAAUACGUAGGUGGCAAGCGUUAUCCGGAAUUAUUGGGCGUAAAGCGCGCGUAGGCGGUUUUUUAAGUCUGAUGUGAAAGCCCACGGCUCAACCGUGGAGGGUCAUUGGAAACUGGAAAACUUGAGUGCAGAAGAGGAAAGUGGAAUUCCAUGUGUAGCGGUGAAAUGCGCAGAGAUAUGGAGGAACACCAGUGGCGAAGGCGACUUUCUGGUCUGUAACUGACGCUGAUGUGCGAAAGCGUGGGGAUCAAACAGGAUUAGAUACCCCAGUAGUCCCUGUCUCUUAUAC
rnacentral:rRNA from 1 species